CCCACGUUCGAAAUAUCCCCAGAUAGCUUGGAUCUGAGCGCUCAAUAUACCUGAACAGCACUCAGAUCCCAUACAUACAGUCAAAUCGCCAUGGAGCUGAAAGUCUGUUCAUUGUGAGUUCCACAGAAAGCAUGAGCAUUCAGCUAUCUAGGUUCAGCUCCAUUUGUGGAUUGUCAAUAUACCGAACAGCACGUCGUUCGUAUGAACCACGACGACGCGAUAGAUGGUUGGUGAUCUCAG